GACGAACGCUGGCGGCGUGCUUAACACAUGCAAGUCGUACGGUAAGGCCCUUUCGGGGGUACACGAGUGGCGAACGGGUGAGUAACACGUGAGUAACCUGCCCACAACUUUGGGAUAACGCUAGGAAACUGGUGCUAAUACUGGAUAUGUGCUCCUGCUGCAUGGUGGGGGUUGGAAAGCUCCGGCGGUUGUGGAUGGACUCGCGGCCUAUCAGCUUGUUGGUGGGGUAGUGGCCUACCAAGGCGGCGACGGGUAGCCGGCCUGAGAGGGUGACCGGCCACAUUGGGACUGAGAAACGGCCCAGACUCCUACGGGAGGCAGCAGUGGGGAAUAUUGCACAAUGGGCGCAAGGCUGAUGCAGCAACGCCGCGGGCGGGAUGACGGCCUUCGGGUUGUAAACCGCUUUCAGCAGGGACGAAGCUUUUUGUGACGGUACCUGCAGAAGAAGCACCGGCUAACUUCGUG
rnacentral:rRNA from 1 species